GACGAACCGUGCGAACGUUAUUCGGAAUCACUGGGCUUAAAGCGCGUGUAGGCGGAUGGGAACGUCGGUCGUUGAAAGCCCCCGGCUCAACCGGGGAAUUGGCACCGAAACGACCCGUCUGGAGGGGCAUAGGGGGAUCUGGAACUUCCGGUGGAGCGGUGAAAUGCGUUGAGAUCGGAAGGAACGCCCGUGGCGAAAGCGAGAUCCUGGAUGUCUUCUGACGCUGAGACGCGAAAGCUAGGGUAGCGAACGGG
rnacentral:rRNA from 1 species